rnacentral:misc_RNA from 1 species
GCCUACUGUUUAAUUUUGAGGGUUCGUUUUUACGAAUACUCAAAAUUAGCACUUUUAGCAACAGAAUAAACUGAACGCAUGUGAAGUUUGUUUGUUGGCGACGUGCUUUAGCACUUUGAAAACUGCAUAUAUAUUUAGUGAUAUGACAUCUAAUUUGUAAUAUAUAAAGCUGAUAACUUUUUAAAAUUAUCGAAGUCGAUAGCUUCUAAUCUAUCAAACCUUUUUAACUGGUCAA